rnacentral:rRNA from 1 species
CCUACGGGAGGCAGCAGUGGGGAAUAUUGCACAUUGGGGGAAACCCUGAUGCAGCGACGCCGCGUGAGUGAAGAAGUAAUUCGUUACGGAAAGCUCUAUCAGCAUGGGAAGAAAUGACGGUACCUGAUUAAUAAUCCCCGGCUAACUCCGUGCCAGCAGCCGCAGUAAUGCGUAGGGGGCAAGCGUUAUCCGGAUUUACUGGGUGUAAAGGGUGCGUAGACGGUGCACAAAGUCUGUAGUGAAAUGCCGUAGCUUAACGGCGGAACUGCUGUUGAAACUGGCGAACUAGAGUGCGGGAGGGGUAAGCGGAAUUCGGAGUGUAGCGGUGAAAUGCGUAGAUAUUAGGCGGAACACCGGUGGCGAAGGCGGCUUACUGGACCGUAACUGACGUUGAGGCUCGAAAGCGUGGGGAGCAAACAGGAUUAGAUACCCUUGUAGUC